rnacentral:rRNA from 1 species
GAGUUUGAUCAUGGCUCAGGACGAACGCUGGCGGCGUGCCUAAUACAUGCAAGUCGAGCGAGUGAAGCUGGCAGAAGCCUUCGGGUGGACGCUAGUGGAGCUAGCGGCGGAUGGGUGAGUAACACGUAGGCAACCUACCUGUAAGCCUGGGAUAACUCCGGGAAACCGGGGCUAAUACCGGAUAAUCCUCUAGACCGCCUGGUCUAGAGUUAAAAGAUGGCUUCGGCUAUCGCUUACAGAUGGGCCUGCGGCGCAUUAGCUAGUUGGUGAGGUAAUGGCUCACCAAGGCGACGAUGCGUAGCCGACCUGAGAGGGUGACCGGCCACACUGGGACUGAGACACGGCCCAGACUCCUACGGGAGGCAGCAGUAGGGAAUCUUCCGCAAUGGACGCAAGUCUGACGGAGCAACGCCGCGUGAGUGAUGAAGGUCUUCGGAUCGUAAAACUCUGUUGUUAGAGAAGAACACGUACCGUUUGAACAAGGCGGUACCUUGACGGUAUCUAACGAGAAAGCCCCGGCUAACUCCGUGCCAGCAGCCGCGGUAA